rnacentral:rRNA from 1 species
UACGGAGGAUGCGAGCGUUAUCCGGAUUUAUUGGGUUUAAAGGGUGCGUAGGCGGGAUGCCAAGUCAGCGGUAAAAAUGCGGUGCUCAACGCCGUCGAGCCGUUGAAACUGGCGUUCUUGAGUGGAUGAGAAGUACGCGGAAUGCGUGGUGUAGCGGUGAAAUGCAUAGAUAUCACGCAGAACUCCGAUUGCGAAGGCAGCGUACCGGCAUCCAACUGACGCUGAGGCACGAAAGCGUGGGGAUCAAACAGG